rnacentral:rRNA from 1 species
UACGGGGGGGGCAAGCGUUGUUCGGAAUUACUGGGCGUAAAGGGUUCGUAGGUGGCCAACUAAGUCAGACGUGAAAUCCCUCAGCUUAACUGGGGAACUGCGUCUGAUACUGGAUGGCUUGAGAUUGGGAGAGGGAUGCGGAAUUCCAGGUGUAGCAGGUGAAAUGCGUAGAGUAUCUGGAGGAACACCGGAUGGCGAAGGCGCAGCCCU